rnacentral:rRNA from 1 species
AACGUAGGACGCAAGCGUUAUCCGGAUUUACUGGGCGUAAAGCGCGGGCAGGCGGUCUUGCCAGUCUGAUGUGAAAUCUCCUCGCUCAACGGGGAGCAGCCAUUGGAAACUACAAGACUGGAGUCUGACAGAGGUAGGCGGAAUUCCGGGUGGAGUGGUGAAAUGCGUAGAGAUCCGGAGGAACACCAGAGGCGAAGGCGGCCUACUGGGUCAGUACUGACGCUGAGCCGCGAAAGCCAGGGGAGCGAACGGG